CGUAAACCCUAAGCCUUUUCUGCAGCGGACGCCUCCAAAUCCUGGUUGCCUCGCUUAUUUGACCUCUCUCUUCAAUCGAUGCAUCUUCUGAUGUGGCCGCCUGAGGGCUUCCGCCUCGCCGGACUUCAGAGCUUGUGCUGCUAGAUUCUCCCUUCCUUGGAUGUCUUAGUUUUAGACUAGUGAUUGAUUUAUGCUCGAUCUUUAUUUGAUUGUCUAGAAGCAUUAAAGUUGUUUCUUUUAACUACACUGAAGUUCGCCAAUGAUGACAAAUCUAAGGCUUGUUUCUCAAAACAUUCGCAGUGGCCGCCUGAGAGCUUUCGCCUUGACGGGCUUGAGAGCUUGUGCUGCUCAAUUCUUCCUUGGAUGUCUGAGUUCCUUUACGAAUCAUGCUCUAUAAAUUAGUUCUCUCCUACGGUGUCUGCUAGUCUUAGCUUUUGUACUUGAAGAGUAGUUAUGUUUGUUCGAUCACUAAAUUUGGUUGUUAUCACGUUUCAUCUUUGGUUUUACAUUGAUACUAGCUGCAUGCCAUUGUGUCUCAAUGUGUCGCAUUGCAUCUCUGAAUGUGUUCGGCUAUAACAAACUAUCCACAUUGUUUCUAUUCAUCGAGCUUUGCUAGAUAUUGUCUCCUUCUUCCAAAGAUCAUAUUGUUCAUCGUAGCUCAUCAUUUCUAGUCGUAACAGAUCGUGAUAAUGUUUGACGUGUUUUCAUCUAAAUACGAUUUAUAUUAUGUAGCUAUUGGUGUCAAUAAUUGGAUUUAAGUUGAUGUUCUAGUUUAGUUCUGAUCACUUGUUUAGCCGCUCCCAUUCCAAGCAUCACUUUGGUUCUUUGUUGUCGAGUCUUUAAUGUCACUUAUCGUCUAUAUGAAUGCAUUCACCGUUGCACGUGGACCACAUGUGUCGACGAUGCCAUGGUGUACGAAACAUCCAGUAUGUGUGUAUGCGUAUUCCCUUGUACAUGACAGUCUCAUGCUGGAAGGACGUAAAAGGAAGUAUGUUAUUUAGUCUUCAUGGUGGUCGCCACGCUGCCUUAAUUCUGGCCGUGACGACAAAAUCCCUAUUGUUUGCACCCUUCAAAACCAAUCAAGGAGGCUCCACUUGGAAGAUUGCUUGCACUAAAUUAUGUGCAUGCUUGUCUGAAGUUUGUUUUUUAGAUGCCGGAAGUAUCUUAGCAUACAAGACCUGUUACGGUACUAUAAUAAACUUUAAAUCCGUGAACUUGAAUAUUGAACUCUUAAUAUAUGAUAUCAUAUGCCCUUUUUUAAAUAAAUAAAAACUAUUUUUUUAAAAAAAUAUGCCAUGGUUUAUUGUAACUAAAAAAAAUCUCGAGAUUGAAUAGUAGUAACUAUUGUUGUUGUGGUGGUUUUGAUUUUAGGCAAGUUCAUUAAGCUACAUUCGAAACCAAAUCAUGCCAUCAACGGAUGUAAAUUAAUGCACUGUUAUUUCAUAUUGUGUCCAGAUUAAUUUUGUGUUGUGACAAUAAUAAUUCAAAUAUAGUUUUGUGUCUCGGACCUCCUAAUCUGGCAUAUCGCAACCAGCAGGUUUACCUAAAUCAUAUAUCUACGAAUUAAAACCCUAAUACCUGCCUGAGAUAAUUGAAGUUAUUAUGUUACGAUCUUUAACAACGAAAACAAUGAUGACGUGCACCUUUUUUUUGUCUGAAAUAGUAUGGAAAAAAGUCAGUGAUGUGGUAGGCUAUAUUGACUGCACCUCAAUGUUUUGGAAUUUAAGAAACUCUUUUUAGUUUUUCUUAAGUAGAAAGGUCUUUGGUUGGUUGUUUACAAAUCAACUUUCCACUUCUUUUCUUCGUUCCAUCGUAACCACCAAAAUGUUUUUUUUUUCUUUUAUAUAAACAUGUAUAUGUAUGAUAUUCUUUUCCUUAUUUUUCACAACAACAAAAAGAGAAGUGGUCAUUGCUCUUACAAUUAUACUUGUAUAAAACACCCACAAGCAGCCUCAACCUCUACCCUUCAUCAUUCACACACCAGUUGGUAUGAAAUUCUCUCUCUUUCUCUCUCUCUCUCUCUCUCUCUUUUUCUCUCCCCCCUGUUCUGUUCUGUAAUCGAUGCUGAAUUCUUAUGGAAGAUCAAGUUCCUGUCCUUACCAUAAAGAUUAGUUGUUCUGUUUGCAGGAACACAGGGAAGAUGGUGGUGAUGGGGCACCAACUAGAAAAGCUGGUGGGCAGCCUCAAGGCCAAGCUGAAGUCACUGAAGGGGAAGAAGCCUUAUGAUAAGAUGGGCAAGACGGAGAGCAUGAGGGUGGAGAUCAGAAGCAAGAGGGCUCAGAAGUUCAUAGCCAAGAACCUUAAGACGGCCGACUCCAUGGGCAAAAAAAGCUAUGCCUUUUAGUUCCAGCACUAGUGUGAUUUUCCUGUAAUGAACUUUCUCUCUCUCUGUCUCUGUCUCUCUCUCUCUCUAUAUAUAUAUAUAUAAUUUAGAUAUUCCCACCCACCAUGAUUAGUUUCUUGUUUCAUUGAGGUGAUGAUGAAGGGAUGGAAGCUGUUCUCGGCUUGUUUAUCUUA